AGACAGACAGAGAGAGAGAGAGCGAGUGUGUGUGUGUGUGAAAGAGAAAGACAGACAGACAGACAGAGAGAGAGUGUGUGUGUGUGUGUGUACCAACAUGACUGCUUAUGAAGAGGGUGGAGUCUCAGGGUUAGAGAUCUGUGUUGCCAUGGUGUUGUGUUUGUGUUGUCACGACGAUCAUUCCUGCUUGCUAUGAGAAGGAGGAGGUGGGGCUGGGUGCCACCAGAUCCCAGGGGUGUAGCAGAGCCAGAUCAGAGCCAGAUUCCUGCCAGACCAGAUCAGAGCCACAUCACAGCCACAUCAGAGCCAGAUCAGAGCCAGAUUCCUGCCAGACCAGAUGCAACGGUUAUGUCCGUUUCAAAAAUGUUUACCUCGUUUUUUAUUUGCAGCGUUUACUUCGUUUUUUAUCAGCCCUGCAGAUGAAUGACCUGGUGUUAAUA
ensembl:lncRNA